CGACCCCAGGUCAGGCGAGAGC
rnacentral:rRNA from 5 species